UAUAUACUCCCUUCGUCCGGAAAUACUUGUCGUACAAAUAGAUAAAAUUGGAUGUAUCUAGAACUAAAAUACAUCUAAAUACAUCCAUUUUUUCGGCAAGUAUUUCCGGACAGAGAGAGUACAUU
rfam:Triticum aestivum genome assembly, contig: Triticum_aestivum_CS42_TGACv1_scaffold_487035_6AS